rnacentral:rRNA from 1 species
ACUGAACGCUGGCGGCAGGCCUAACACAUGCGAGUCGAGCGGAUGAAGGGGGCUUGCUCCUGGAUUCAGCGGCGGACGGGUGAGUAAUGCCUAGGAAUCUGCCUGGUAGUGGGGGAUAACGUCCGGAAACGGGCGCUAAUACCGCAUACGUCCUGAGGGAGAAAGUGGGGGAUCUUCGGACCUCACGCUAUCAGAUGAGCCUAGGUCGGAUUAGCUAGUUGGUGGGGUAAAGGCCUACCAAGGCGACGAUCCGUAACUGGUCUGAGAGGAUGAUCAGUCACACUGGAACUGAGACACGGUCCAGACUCCUACGGGAGGCAGCAGUGGGGAAUAUUGGACAAUGGGCGAAAGCCUGAUCCAGCCAUGCCGCGUGUGUGAAGAAGGUCUUCGGAUUGUAAAGCACUUUAAGUUGGGAGGAAGGGCAGUAAGUUAAUACCUUGCUGUUUUGACGUUACCAACAGAAUAAGCACCGGCUAACUUCGUGCCAGCAGCCGCGGUAAUACGAAGGGUGCAAGCGUUAAUCGGAAUUACUGGGCGUAAAGCGCGCGUAGGUGGUUCAGCAAGUUGGAUGUGGAAUCCCCGGGCUCAACCUGGGAACUGCAUCCAAAACUACUGAGCUAGAGUACGGUAGAGGGUGGUGGAAUUUCCUGUGUAGCGGUGAAAUGCGUAGAUAUAGGAAGGAACACCAGUGGCGAAGGCGACCACCUGGACUGAUACUGACACUGAGGUGCGAAAGCGUGGGGAGCAAACAGGAUUAGAUACCCUGGUAGUCCACGCCGUAAACGAUGUCGACUAGCCGUUGGGAUCCUUGAGAUCUUAGUGGCGCAGCUAACGCGAUAAGUCGACAGCCUGGGGAGUACGGCCGCAAGGUUA